GCGGAAGGAUCAUUAUUGAAUGAACUUGGCGUGGUUGUAGCUGGCUCUCUCGAGAGUAUGUGCACAUCCGUCAUCUUUAUCUCUCCACCUGUGCACAUUUUGUAGACUUGGUAUUUGAGAUUUUCUGGGGUAACUCUCAGUUAGACUUAGAUUUCCAGGCCUAUGUUUUUCACAUACCCUAUAGUAUGUAACAGAAUGUAUCAAUGAGCCUUGUGCUUAUAAACUAUAUACAACUUUCAACAACGGAUCUCUUGGCUCUCGCAUCGAUGAAGAACGCAGCGAAAUGCGAUAAGUAAUGUGAAUUGCAGAAUUCAGUGAAUCAUCGAAUCUUUGAACGCACCUUGCGCUCCUUGGUAUUCCGAGGAGCAUGCCUGUUUGAGUGUCAUUAAAUUCUCAACCUUAUUAGCUUUGGCUUGAUAAUGGUUUGGAUUUGGGGGUCUUUUGCUGGCUUUCACAAGUCAGCUCCCCUUAAAUGUAUUAGCUGGUGCCCUCUGGUUAACCAUCUAUUGGUGUGAUAAUUAUCUACGCCGUGGAUGUUAGCCGCUUUGUAGGUGCACUGCUUCUAACCGUCUGUUCAUUCGGACAAAUAUAUGACAUUUGACCUCAAA
rnacentral:rRNA from 1 species